rnacentral:lncRNA from 1 species
GUCCCUUUGUGUUGUAGGCAGUGCAGUGAGGGUCGGUGAUUACUAGCGUGUGUCGAGCAGGUUAGCGAGUCGAGAGAGCGCAGUUAGGUGACCGGCAGCAUGGAAGGCCCCUGGGAAGACCAUCCUCUGGACGGGUACGACUUCCUAUAUGUGCUCGGCCGGGGCGGCUUCGGCCUGGUGAAGCUGGCCUGGCACCUGGCGUCGGAAGAGUUUGUGGCAGUGAAGAUCCUCCCGCGAGGCACCUCUCCCAGCAGCCCGCUGUCCGCGCAGGGGGAAGCGGCCAUCCUGAGGAGCCUGCGGCACGACAACAUCGUGCGGCUGCUGGAGGAGCGGCACACGAGGAAGCACCUGUUCCUGGUCAUGGAGCUGGGGGCCAGGGGCUCGCUCCGGCACUACGUGCUGCGGCAGGGCAGCCGAGGCCCAGGCCAGGGCCCUGUUUGGCCAGGUGCUGGCCGCUGUGAGCUACUGCCAUGGCCAGCGCGUGGCGCACCGGGACCUCAAGCUGGGCAACCUGCUGCUGGACACGCACCUGAACGUCAAGCUGGCGGACUUCGGGCUGAGCCUGUGGCUGGAGCAGGGCACGCUGGUGAGGGGCUUCUGCGGGACCCCCGAGUACUGCGCACCAGAGGUUUUCCUUGGGGAGGACUACGACGCGGUUAAAGCCGAUGUGUGGAGUCUGGGGGUGGUGCUGUUUGCUAUGCUGGCAGCCACGCUGCCUUUCCACAGCAAGGACACAGACGAGAUGUGGGACAUGGUGCUGUCCGCCUGCUACGUGCUGCCGCAUGCCGUCAGCCCGGCCCUGCAGGAGCUGCUGGUGUGGCUGCCCACCGUCGACACCUCAAGGAGGCCCAGUGCGGAGGAAGCCAGGACCCACUGGUGGUUCAGCCCUGGCCGAAAAGCCGCCCAGGAGGACAAGGAGGACGCGGUCACCCUGCUGCAGCCCCUGGGCGUUCCCCGAGACCCAGAGGCCAAGGACUACCUGGCGGGCCUCGGCCUGCUGCCAGGCAUGGGGACCGAGGGGACGCCAGGCCCUCGGCCCCACGGCCCCACGUCCCUGCCUGAGUCCUCACAGAGCAGCGAGCACCACCCCAUACAGGAUGACGGCUUGGCUCUGGUGUCCCGUGACAGCAUGGCUGUCAACGUUUCCUCCACACGGAGCGACUCCACCAAGGCCUCCAGCUAGCCACGGCAGGAGUGGAACCCUGCUCCCAGCACAGCCCCCGACUCCUCCCAAGUCUCCAGCCAGCCACAGCAAGAGUGGAGCCCUGCUCCCAGCGCAGCCCCUGAGCCAGCAUCCAAGGCGUCGCCCUCCAGCCCCAGUGCCGGGAGUCCUGUGCACCUCACAGAGCCAGAAGCCGCCUCAGCAGCCCGUGAGCCUGAGGAGCCUGGGACCACAGCCACCGCAGCCACCACAGACUCCACAGCCAGCGCCCAGGGCAAGAGGCAGGGCCGGCGUGGGGUCGGCAGGAGGAUCCUCCGGUUCCUGCUGA